rnacentral:rRNA from 1 species
UGGCUGACGAGUGGCGGACGGGUGAGUAACGCGUAGGAAUCUACCUAGUAGUGGGGGACAACCUGGUGAAAACCAGGCUAAUACCGCAUACGCCCUACGGGGGAAAACAGGGGAUCUUCGGACCUUGUGCUAUGAGAUGAGCCUGCGUUAGAUUAGCUAGUUGGUAGGGUAAAGGCCUACCAAGGCGACGAUCUAUAGCUGGUCUGAGAGGACGAUCAGCCACACUGGGACUGAGACACGGCCCAGACUCC